AUUGCAGUCUAAUGAAGCACUUUGGAAACUGAAAUUUUGCUUAGUGUUUUUGGGCUGGUCUUAAUUAAGAUUGCUGAAGAUGGGUAUUGAAAUGGGCUCUGGAGAUGGUCCACUUAAGAUGUAUGGAUCUCUCAAGCUCAGAUGCCAGAAGAGACUGACGGUGAUAGAUCAGCUGUCA